rnacentral:rRNA from 1 species
GACGAACGCUGGCGGCAUGCCUAACACAUGCAAGUCGAACGAGACCUUCGGGUCUAUUGGCGCACGGGUGCGUAACGCGUGGGAAUCUGCCCUUGGGUUCGGUAUACCAGAUGGAAACGACUGCUAAUACCGGAUGAUGACGUAAGUCCAAAGAUUUAUCGCCCAAGGAUGGGCCCGCGUAGGAUUAGCUAGUUGGUGAGGUAAAGGCUCACCAAGGCGACGAUCCUUAGCUGGUCUGAGAGGAUGAUCAGCCACACUGGGACUGAGACACGGCCCAGACUCCUACGGGAGGCAGCAGUGGGGAAUAUUGGACAAUGGGCGAAAGACUGAUCCAGCAAUGCCGCGUGAGUGAUGAAGGCCUUAGGGUUGUAAAGCUCUUUUACCCGGGAGGAUAAUGACAGUACCGGGAGAAUAAGCGCCGGCUAACUCCGUG